UACAGAGGGUGCGAGCGUUUAAUCGGAAUUACUGGGCGUAAAGCGCGCGUAGACGGUUUUGUAAGUCAGAUGUGAAAUCCCUGGGCUCAACCUGGGAACUGCAUUUGAGACUGCAUGGCUAGAGUAUCGAAGAGGGAAGUGGAAUUUCCGGUGUAGCGGUGAAAUGCGUAGAUAUCGGAAGGAACACCAGUGGCGAAGGCGGCUCACUGGUCCGGUACUGACGCUGAGGUGCGAAAGCGUGGGGAGCAAACAGG
rnacentral:rRNA from 1 species